AAUGAACGCUGGCGGCAUGCCUAACACAUGCAAGUCGAACGAGACCUUCGGGUCUAGUGGCGCAGGGGUGCGUAACGCGUGGGAACCUGCCCUUAGGUUCGGAAUAACUCCCCGAAAGGGGUGCUAAUACCGGAUAAUGUCUUCGGACCAAAGAUUUAUCGCCUUUGGAUGGGCCCGCGUUGGAUUAGCUAGUUGGUAGGGUAAAAGCCUACCAAGGCGACGAUCCAUAGCUGGUCUGAGAGGAUGAUCAGCCACACUGGGACUGAGACACGGCCCAGACUCCUACGGGAGGCAGCAGUGGGGAAUAUUGGACAAUGGGCGAAAGCCUGAUCCAGCAAUGCCGCGUGAGUGAUGAAGGCCUUAGGGUUGUAAAGCUCUUUUACCCGGGAUGAUAAUGACAGUACCGGGAGAAUAAGCUCCGGCUAACUCCGCG
rnacentral:rRNA from 1 species